GGACAGUGGAACUCCAUGUGUAGCGGUGGAAUGCGUAGAUAUAUGGAAGAACACCAGUGGCGAAGGCGGCUGUCUAGUCUGUAACUGACGCUGAGGCUCGAAAGCAUGGGUAGCGAACAGGAUUAGAUACCCUGGUAGUCCAUGCCGUAAACGAUGAGUGCUAAGUGUUGGAGGGUUUCCCCCUUCAGUGCUGCGGCUAACGCAUUAAGCACUCCGCCUGGGGAGUACGACCGCAAGGUUGAAACUCAAAGGAAUUGACGGGGGCCCGCACAAGCGGUGGAGCAUGUGGUUUAAUUCGAAGCUACGCGAAGAACCUUACCAGGUCUUGACAUCUUCUGCCAAUCUUAGAGAUAAGACGUUCCCUUCGGGGACAGAAUGACAGGUGGUGCAUGGUUGUCGUCAGCUCGUGUCGUGAGAUGUUGGGUUAAGUCCCGCAACGAGCGCAACCCUUAUUAUCAGUUGCCAGCAUUCAGUUGGGCACUCUGGUGAGACUGCCGGUGACAAACCGGAGGAAGGUGGGGAUGACGUCAAAUCAUCAUGCCCCUUAUGACCUGGGCUACACACGUGCUACAAUGGACGGUACAACGAGUCGCGAAGUCGUGAGGCUAAGCUAAUCUCUUAAAGCCGUUCUCAGUUCGGAUUGUAGGCUGCAACUCGCCUACAUGAAGUUGGAAUCGCUAGUAAUCGCGGAUCAGCAUGCCGCGGUGAAUACGUUCCCGGGCCUUGUACACACCGCCCGUCACACCAUGAGAGUUUGUAACACCCAAAGCCGGUGAGAUAACCUUCGGGAGUCAGCCGUCUAAGGUGGGACAGAUGAUUAGGGUGAAGUCGUAACAAGGUAACCAAGGGCGAAUC
rnacentral:rRNA from 1 species